AGCGAACGCUGGCGGCAUGCUUAACACAUGCAAGUCGCACGGCCCGCAAGGGCAGUGGCGGACGGGUGAGUAACGCGUAGGUAUCUGUCUCCGGGUGGGGGAUAACUGUGGGAAACUACAGCUAAUACCGCAUGAAGCCUGAGGGCCAAAGGCGCAAGUCGCCUGGAGAGGAGCCUGCGUACGAUUAGCUUGUUGGUGGGGUAAUGGCCUACCAAGGCAACGANGGGUAGCUGGUCUGAGAGGAUGAUCAGCCACACUGGGACUGAGAUACGGCCCAGACUCCUACGGGAGGCAGCAGUGGGGAAUAUUGCGCAAUGGGCGGAAGCCUGACGCAGCAACGCCGGGUGCGGGAGGAAGGCC
rnacentral:rRNA from 1 species